rnacentral:lncRNA from 1 species
AUUGUUCUAGGCUUUGGGGAUAUGGGAAUGAAGAGAACAAAAAAAUCUCAGCCCUCAUGGAGCUUGCAUUCAGUGGGGCCAACAGAUAAUAGGCAAGCUAAGGGAACAGAAUGAGUUAGAAAGAGUAGAAUUAAGGAGAAAAAAAUAAAAGAGCAAGGGAAGAGGGUGUGUAUUGAACUUUUAGGGACAGUGGACCUCACCAGGAAACCUCACCAGUAAGAGGGUCAUUUGAGCCCCUCACCCGAAGGGAAGAAGGUGUGAGUGCACCUCGGGAAAGAGCUGGUACAAGUGUCUGCAGACAGGACUGGCCUGGAGGAACUUACUCAACAGUGGGAAACAGUCUGCUCUUCCUGCAGACACACACCCAGAGAGGCAACCCAUUUUCUACUUGGCAUCAUUCUUAGAUAGGUCAAGGUCAUGCUGAUGGUGAGAAGAUCCCAUGGAGUGUCAAUACACUGGGAGCUGUGCCUCUGUAUGGGCCAGGCACUGGGAAUGACUGAAGGAGACAAAUCCUGCUGUGAUCCCACAUAUGCCUGGACCAGUGGUUCUCAAAGUGUGCUCCCAGGACAAGCAGCACCAGGAACUUUCUAGAAAUGCACAUUCUCAAGCCCCACUCAGACCUACUAAGUCAGAAAACUCAAGACCAAAAUGGAGUUUUGUUUUUCUCCUGACAGCAGAUGCCACAGAUUGGGCAGACCCAGGAGGCUCUUCUUUACCUGGGCGUGUGGUGAGAACUCAAGUCCGAAGCCUAUGUCUGAGCAGCCUAUCUGUACUUCAUUGAGCCUCUGUUUUCACAUCUAUAAAAUAGGGAUAACAACUACCUCAUUGCACUGAAGUGGAGGCUAAACGAGCUUCAAACAAAAAGAUCAAAGUCUGGUUAACUUCCAAGCACUGUGAAAUGCUAGCUCCUAGUACUGACAGGCAAAAGAUGUGUCUUUCUUUCUCCCAUUGGGAGUUGCCCUGACUGCGAAUCCCCCCGUAUAUGAUAGUGCUCAAGAACAUUUCCAAUAUGGUAUAGAAUGUAGUACUUGUAGCCAAAAUAGAGCACGCUUUACACUGUAAAACCACAAAUACAAGUAAAUUUGAGAGCAAGAUGAUUCAGGAGGCGAAGGGAUGAGCAAACAGUUAAAGAUCAUUCCCUCCGUUUAAUACAUAGAUGGUGUCAAAGAAGCAAAACAGCCUGUUCCAUUCUGGAAGGGCCAGUUUUUCUUUAGCUCAACAAGAGCAUGUAGUUAGGAGCACAACCAACCAAUGAAGCAAUCCACAAACAAAACAAAAACGCCAUUUAGAUGGCUGUUACCUGCUACGCAGCUGUGGUUGUCUUCUGUUCCUGAAAGCUUUUUUCUGGCCCUUUUCAUAAAGCUCAUGUCACAUGAGCUCACCCCACAUCUUCCGUCCAUUUCCUGGCCACAGCCAAGUCCAGGCACUGAGCUCAGAGUGAGACGUGGCCACAAAUUGUGGGAUCCAUUCUCUGGAG